UGUUCUGUGGCUUAGUUGGUUAAAGCGCCGGUCUAGCGAAUACGGAGUUGUGGGUUCGAAUUCAACCAGAAUGC
rnacentral:tRNA from 1 species